rnacentral:rRNA from 1 species
AUUGAACGCUGGCGGCAUGCUUUACACAUGCAAGUCGAACGGUAACAGGCCGCAAGGUGCUGACGAGUGGCGAACGGGUGAGUAAUGCAUCGGAACGUGCCCAGUCGUGGGGGAUAACGCAGCGAAAGCUGCGCUAAUACCGCAUACGAUCUAUGGAUGAAAGCGGGGGACCGUAAGGCCUCGCGCGAUUGGAGCGGCCGAUGUCAGAUUAGGUAGUUGGUGGGGUAAAGGCUCACCAAGCCAACGAUCUGUAGCUGGUCUGAGAGGACGACCAGCCACACUGGGACUGAGACACGGCCCAGACUCCUACGGGAGGCAGCAGUGGGGAAUUUUGGACAAUGGGCGCAAGCCUGAUCCAGCAAUGCCGCGUGCAGGAAGAAGGCCUUCGGGUUGUAAACUGCUUUUGUACGGAACGAAGCGGUCCUGGUUAAUACCUGGGGCUAAUGACGGUACCGUAAGAAUAAGCACCGGCUAACUACGUGCCAGCAGCCGCCGCGGUAA